rnacentral:rRNA from 1 species
GAUGAACGCUGGCGGCGUGCCUAACACAUGCAAGUCGAACGGAGAAUACAUUUUUGAAGCAAUUAGCUUGCUAAGAGUGGAAAUGUUGUAUUCUUAGUGGCGGACGGGUGAGUAACGCGUGGAUAACCUGCCUCACACUGGGGGAUAACAGCCAGAAAUGGCUGCUAAUACCGCAUAAGCGCACAGCAUCGCAUGAUGUGGUGUGAAAAGCGUCAGUGGUGUGAGAUGGAUCCGCGUCUGAUUAGCUAGUUGGUAGGGUAAGAGCCUACCAAGGCGACGAUCAGUAGCCGGCCUGAGAGGGUGAACGGCCACAUUGGGACUGAGACACGGCCCAAAACUCCUACGGGAGGCAGCAGUGGGGGAUAUUGCACAAUGGGGGAAACCCUGAUGCAGCGACGCCGCGUGAGUGAAGAAGUAUUCGGUAUGUAAAGCUCUAUCAGCAGGGAGAAAAUGACGGUACCUGACUAAGAACG